UACGUAGGGGGCAAGCGUUGUCCGGAAUCAUUGGGCGUAAAGCGCGUGUAGGCGGCUCGAUAAGUCCGUUCUGAAAGUCCAGGGCUCAACCCUGGGAUGCGGAUGGAUACUGUCGAGCUCGAGUCCGGAAGAGGCAAGUGGAAUUCCUGGUGUAGCGGUGGAAUGCGCAGAUAUCAGGAGGAACACCUAUAGCGAAGGCAGCUUGCUGGGACGUUACUGACGCUAAGGCGCGAAAGCGUGGGGAGCGAACAGG
rnacentral:rRNA from 1 species